rnacentral:rRNA from 1 species
AGAGGUCCAGCCUGCCCUGUGACUAUAUGUUUAACGGCCGCGGUAUUUUAACCGUGCGAAGGUAGCGCAAUCACUUGUCUUUUAAAUGGAGACCUGUAUGAAUGGCAUAACGAGGGCUUAACUGUCUCCUUUUUCAAGUCAAUGAAAUUGAUCUCCCCGUGCAGAAGCGGGGAUACACCCAUAAGACGAGAAGACCCUAUGGAGCUUAAGACGCCAAGGCAUAUCAUGUUAAACACCCCUAAACAAAGGGCCAAACCAAGUGAUAACGUAUGCCCUAAUGUCUUUGGUUGGGGCGACCGCGGGGAAACAAAAAACCCCCACGUGGAAUGGGAGCACCCCUCCUACAACCAAGAGCUGCAGCUCUAAUAAACAGAAUUUCUGACCAACAAGAUCCGGCAACGCCGAUCAACGGACCGAGUUACCCUAGGGAUAACAGCGCAAUCCCCUUUAAGAGCCCAUAUCGACAAGGGGGUUUACGACCUCGAUGUUGGAUCAGGACAUCCUAAUGGUGCAGCCGCUAUUAAGGGUUCGUUUGUUCAACGAUUAAAGUCCUACGUGAUCUGAG